rnacentral:rRNA from 1 species
GGAGGAAAAGAAACUAACAAGGAUUCCCCUAGUAGCGGCGAGCGAAGAGGGAAAAGCCCAGCACCGAACCUCGCACCUUCGGGUGUCGCGGAAUGUGGUGUUCAGGAGGACCGUGCGCGUCUGUCCGGUAUCGUCCAAGUCUCCAUGAAUGGGGCCAGCAACCCAGAGAGGGUGUCAGGCCCGUGGGACGAGCCGCGACCGUGUAUUGGGUCUCUCCUUAGAGUCGGGUUGCUUGAGAGUGCAGCCCUAAGCGGGAGGUAAACUCCUUCUAAGGCUAAAUACGGCCACGAGACCGAUAGCAAACAAGUACCGCGAGGGAAAGUUGAAAAGAACUUUGAAGAGAGAGUUCAAGAGUGCGUGAAACCGUUCAGGGGGUUAAACGGGUGGGCCCUCGAAGGUCGAACGGUCCCCACUCCCGUCACUCGUAGGCCGGUCCGCGCCGUCUUCGAUUCCUUAUGGAACGAGUCGGCGCGGUUCGCCGGUUUACGGGGGCCGCUAGCUGGGGACCCAGUAGGACUCCGCAACCGGUUGGGCAGGCCGUCAGAAGGGUUCUGGAGGAAGCUUCCUUUGGAGGUGGAUUCCGGGAUUCCGGGCGGUCCUCUCGACCGUGAACCCAAAUUUCUCCCUUCACGGGGUAGAAUGCGCGGAGAGUAGAGUCGGGUCCCACCCGACCCGUCUUGAAACACGGACCAAGGAGUCUAACAUGUACGCGAGUCGUCGGGUACUACUAAACCCGAAGGCGCAAUGAAAGUGAAGGCCGCCCUCGUUGGCGGCCGAGGGGAGAUCCCGUUCUGCUCCGGUAGCUCGGGCGCAUCCCCGGGGCGUCGAAGCCGCGUUGCCGGCUAGACGAACCAAGAGCGUACACGUUGGGACCCGAAAGAUGGUGACCUAUGCCUGGCCAGGACGAAGCCAGGGGAAACCCUGGUGGAGGUCCGCAGCGAUUCUGACGUGCAAAUCGAUCGUCUGAGUUGGGUAUAGGGGCGAAAGACUAAUCGAACCAUCUAGUAGCUGGUUCCCCCCGAAGUUCCCUCAG